CCCACCCACGCCUUCCCCAUAGGCCAUCUGCCUCCUUCCUCGGCAGAUCUGCCGCCCCCCAGGGCCCGCGCCCCUCCACGCCCGCGCUACCGCAAGCCACCGGCCCCGCCCCCACCGUCGUCCCCAGCCCUCGUCGCGACGACACCGCAGCUCAUCGCCUCCGUCGCCGAGGCCAUCGGCGGAGAGGACUGCACCGCCGACCUCCCUGAGAAGCUCCUCGCCUCAUAUUUGGCCUGCUUGACUUUAAUGGGGGGCGAUGGCGUCUUCCUCUCCCGUCCCCGUCGGCCGCGAGCGGAGCGGCCCAGCUGCUGCUGCUGCAGAGUCAGAGCUGCCCCGAAGCUUCUCGCCUCCCCCUCCCACUUCCCCUUCUCGUCUAGGCUGGAAUUCCACUCCACCACCACCGCCCGCCGCCCCUCUGCACGCAAGCAGCUUGACUGCUUCAGCACAAGACCCAUCCAUUCCUUUGAGGAUCGCAUCGCAUCAGAUUUCUCAGAUCAGAUCAACCUCUUCCCUCUCCGGCCGAUUCUACUCCAUCAAGUCCAGUCCAGAGCCUUUAGUGGCUCACGGAGACUGAAAGCUCUCCCCCUGUUUCUGCAGCUGAUAUCACACCCAAUAUGGCGGCAAAUGUCGGGGAAUCGACAAGCGGCAGCAACAGUUGUGCUACCUUUUGCAGUUGUGCUACCUUUUGCAAAGUACCUGUAGGAAAUGCUGACGGUGAGGAUAUCCAGCCUCUUAUCUGUGACAAUGGAACUGGAAUGGUCAAGGCUGGGUUGGCCGGUGAUGAUGCACCAAGGGCUUUUUUCCCUAGCAUUGUUGGCCUCCCUUGCCGCACUGGUGUGAUGGUAGGGAUGGGGCAGAAGGAUGCAUACGUUGGGGACGACUCCAGGGACUGCCCCCUUCCUCGACGUCGGCUUCCACUGCUGCGAGAACGGCCGCCCCGACACGUCCCCAAGUGGCGCUGGCAGCUGACGUGCUGCGAUCUCCCCAGGUGGGUUGGUUCUGAUUUGCUGCUUGUUGCUUCUAAGCAACUUUUUUAUUACAGACAGGCAUUAAUAUGAUGUUAGAUAGGAAAUAAUUUGCUAUUAAUUAGGCAAAGUACUAUCUCAAAAAGAGGACAACAAGGAGGGCAGAAAGGACGGUUGAAUUGGUUUGCUAUUAACUUUUUUUUUGUUUGCGCAUUAGCACUUUGUAUAGAUAUGAGUUUGUUUGUGUUGAUCGUCAUCGUUGAUUAAGUAGAUUGUGGCAGCGAUCACAUUGUGUCUCCAUUUGAGCUUCUCUUUGUGUGAAUUUUUUUAUAACUAUUCCAUAUUUUGCAACAUAGAAAUGAUAUAAUACUGAAUUAGAUUAUAAUUAUUAGGUCAUGCUAUCCAACAACUUAGUACAUGUAGUACCAACAAUUGGAAGGAAAUCGAGGUCUUUUUGUUUGAGCUUCUUUUUACUGAGAUAGCUAGGCAAGUUUGCAUGCUUCAUGUAGCAUAUCGUCAGUAAUUCAAUGACUCUUUCUUUUUUUCUUCAGUGAAUGCAUGGAUUACAGUACGAGCUAGUCAUAUCUUGAUAGGGGCUAGUUGCGGGCAGAAUGAAGGUUUGCUUCAUAGGUUCCUGCAUUGACUCCUAGAAAAUCAUAGUCAUACAUAACCCUACAUCUCCUAUUGUUUUACCUACAAUUCAGUAAGCAAAAUAGUGUUAUUCUGCAGGCAAAUUAGGGGAGUAUAGCUGGCAAAUAGGUGCUAUGUAGCUAGCAAAAAAAUAUAUGCAUUCAAGACUAGCUAGCAUUUUAUCACAAAAUAGGCAGGGGGCAUCACAAAAUAGCCAGAGGCAAAAUUGUGUAAUUAAAUUGGUAAACCAGUGAUCCACAGUAAGCAAAACAAGCAAAUCAAUUGGCAAUUUUUCUCAGCAUAUUCAUGCACGUAUGUGGGGGGGAACAAUUGCAGUUCAGUAGUGAAAUCUUGCAAUUUUUUACUAUAUUUUUUUUGUCUUAUGUGGUUGUCACUACAUGUUACCUACAUUGAACCUAUUUACUGUAACAUUUUUGUAGGAGACCAAAAUUAGCAAAAUACAGUAGAGUCAAGCAGAUCAACGAGGUCAGCUAGAGAGGAGUUACCUUGUGCAGUUAGUCUGGGAGAGUUGAUAUUUCUAUUUGCUUGGCAGGAUAGUGCAAUUUUCUUCAGUAUGCAGUAUCAUAAGUAGUUCAAAAAAAUUAGCUGGAUUAUCAUUCAUCUACUAGACGUAUGCAAUGCACUAAAUUGCUAGAAUGUAGUCUAUGCGUAAUGUCAUUUGUUGUGUGUCUGAUUACUUCUUAUUGUUGUGCAAUUAAAUAAAUUUCCUCUAAACAGAUUAGUGCAAUACAGCAUGCAAUUAAUUGAAUUUCUCUAGGCAGAUUAGUCCAAUAUAGCAAACAAUUAAAUGUUUUUUCAUAGGCAAAUUGGUGCAAUACAGCAAGCAAAACAAUGUUUUUUCAUUCGGAGUGGUAUGAGGGUGCUACAAAGGAUCAGGUGAGAGGUGAGGUCGUGCGCUCCUGAUGUUUUUUAACAGCCCCCUGCACAAAUUCAUUUGCUAGCCUGUGCCUUGAUUGUUUUGAUGUUUUAGAUGCAGUGUGGAGAGUGAAAUCGAAACCCUAGGGAGGUGGUGCAUAGGUAAGGUGCAACCAAUAUAGAGAUUUGGGUCUGCCCCCCAAAUCUUGAGGCCUUCCUGGUGGUUGGCACUACACAGGUGCAUCUCCUUUUUAUUGAAUUUAUUUUCCGCAUGGCUGUUAUCAUUUUUCAGCAUGAAUGACAGUUUUUUUGUCUAGCAGUUCUGAAACUAGUUGCACACAUGUUUAUCAUUAGCAUUUUAAUAAAUUUCAAUAAGCAUUUAAAUACUAUUCAACUAGCAUUUCAAAUGUUCACGUGAAGCAAUUUAGAAAAUUUUAUGCUUUUCGUUAUGUAGUAUGUAAGCGUUGCAUGCAAUCUUUUUCCUUAAUAGGCAAUAAUAUGAUUCUGGAUUAUGUAAAAUAAUACAUUUCAGGCAACACUAUGUUUCCAUAUUAUGGAAUAAUAUGGUUCUUGAUAGGCAAAACAAUGUAUUUCUUUCAUCUUGCCAUUAGCACGAGGUUCGGUGUUAUUGACAGUUUUUUUGUUUAUUUCUGUCUUGGUUUGUUGCUCUUCUUUUCAGUUGGUCCUACCUCUUGUCAGAAGUGGAGUGAGAAAUGACUUGCCUAACUGCAUUCUACCCGUGUGUUUUGUGGGUAUAGCACCCCUUCUCCAAAUCAGUGCCCUCCCUCAUCAGCUUGUGUGAUGCACUAGUAAUUUAGCAUCAGCACUACACUACCAAGAGAAAUGUAACAGUUUUGAGAUUUGGCAUAUCAAUAUAUUAUCCGUGCAAUUUUGUUGCUUCCUUCAGUAUUCAGUAUGUGUGUUGUCAUCUUAGUCUAUAAAGUAACAGUGUCUAUGAGCUGGUAAUUUUACCUUUUCCAGUGAAGAAGAGGUGGUGUGGCAUUUUA